ACAUGGCCAAAGAGCGGGAGAGGGGUGAUUCCCCACAGAAAAAUUGGGAUGCCGUUACCAAAAAAAGGGGAGAAAUUAACAGAAGAAUCCAUAACAGAAGAUGACAAGAGGAGAAACUAUGGAGGAGUAUAUGUUGGCCUACCAACUGAAGCUGUCAAUAUGGUGUCCAGUCAAACAAAGACAGUUCGGAAAAAUUAGAAGAAAGUAACAUCAUGACUCAAGAAUCAAGAGCUCGCUCAUCAAUUUGGAAGGAAUUUGGCUCCGUGGGACAUUGUAAUGUGCACAGACAUUUCCAAGGAAAUUCUAAACAGUCACCCUUCCCUUUUGCAUUCCCCCAAAUCUUAAGUGUAUACAUAAAACCCUGGGUACAUAUGGUUGUGGUAAUAGAAGGGAAUUGGUUAAACAGUACACUUGUUUAUGGAACUUUCUGUGGCCGCCUACGAAAGACAAGUUAACAAACUGUCAUGGAGGCUGUUGUUGCCCAGCCAGGGCCGCUGCAUUUUGACAACAUUUCCACCCUGGCCACUCAGCACAUUUCAUGGAGGUCAUGUCUUUUCAUUGAUACUUUUUUGAUAGUUUUUAUAUAACAAAAUCUUUAUUCUAUUUAUAACUUAAGAUGAUAAAGCACUAUAAAUUAAUGACCUAAAAUAAUAUAUUUGUCUGUUAUCUUUCGCUAUUUCUACUUCAUUUUAAUUUUUAGCUGUAAAAUUGGUAAACGGAUUCUUACAACUAUCUCUUUCCAUUUUUUACUAUUUGGUUUUCAAAUUUCAUUUAAAUGUCAGAAUUUCCUUUUUAGGAAC
rnacentral:sRNA from 1 species